UACGGAGGGUGCAAGCGUUGUCCGGAUUCAUUGGGUUUAAAGGGUGCGCAGGCGGGACAUUAAGUCAGGGGUGAAAGACGGUUGCUCAACAAUCGCAGUGCCUUUGAUACUGGUGUUCUUGGGUGACCUUGAGGUAGGCGGAAUGGGUGGUGUAGCGGUGAAAUGCAUAGAUACCACCAGAACUCCGAUUGCGAAGGCAGCCUACUUGGAGGUUUACCG
rnacentral:rRNA from 1 species